ACUUCUUGGACUUCUCUCCAGCAAUGGGCCCAAACUGUGCCGUGCCUCUUAAGGAUGUUUUCUGAAGGGCUGUGUGUGGAAGUAUGUGUGAGGUGGUGACUCAGGAGGAACACGGGGCUUAGUGGCCUUGGGAGAAUGCAAACCCCUCUGUAAACAGAAAUAUGUUAAUGAGGGAAAAUUGCAUGAGAUAUAAACACCCACAGCAUGGGUCUCAGAGAUGAAGGGGGACACCGAGCAGAGGGAGAAGACUAAACUUUGGAAUGACUGACUGCCUUCUUUCUCAUCCACUAUAAAGUGUCAAAGACAAAGUGAAUAUUUUAGGAUAUUGAUCCUGCAUCUUCCCAGACUGCUGCCUCUGAAUGAAGCACAAUAUAGAGAUUCGAUUCCUGCCACUGAUGUUUGUGGUGAUGGGCACUGUGAACUCUGGUACCUUUGUUACAGAGGGAUGGAGGAUAAUGAGGGAUGGAUUGAUAAUUGGGGCAUGGGUGAAUGGAUGGACAUGUGGAUGGUGAAUGAAUAUAUAGACGGCAGAGAACGGGUAGGGGAUGGGGGGUAUGGAGGACCUACAUUCAUAUGGAUGGGUGGCCACUCAAAGCAGAAAGCACACAGAUGUGGACAGGAACCCUUUGUGCAUCUUAGCAGUUGUGUAAACAGAUGAAUGGUGGAUGUGUACAACGGUGGGUGUGCACUGACAUCUUUAAGGUGGAAGCUCUUUGUGUAGGUUUUCUAAUUUUACUCUCAUAUCUGGGGGGGUGGGGUGGAGGCUUUUAAUAACACUAUCGUUUUGGAAACCAAGACUCAGAGAGGCCAUAUUAGGCUUUGCCACAAGGGUUUCUCUUGGGUUAUAGAUAUCACCACAUCUUGAUAGUGGAGUAGUCUUGAUUCCUUUGGCAUAACAAACAGUUCAUGGAAAAACUCCAGUUUUCUCCAGAGUGGUAAGAUUGAUCAUUUUCUGUGUAUGCCUUGAUGUGGGAAAGGUACAGGUGGUUGAUUGAUUUGCUGAUCAGCGAUAGAGGGAAGGUUCACACCUGGACUGACAGCAGGGCAAGCCCCAGCUCCCAGGCCUUGCUCUUUGAAAGCAGUUAGCAGGGCCGUACUGAGCUUCCCAUGGCUGGUAGGGAAGCUGUCGUUAAUGCAAUGUGUCGGUGUGGACAUUGGUGCAUCCCUCAUCCUCCACCCCAGACCUCUGACUCUCAGAGCUGUAUCCAGGUUAUGUUGUCUCUGACUACACAGAGCAGAGACACUGAGUUGGUGUAGUCAGGCCUGUUCAGCCUGCAUCCUGUAGGUGUUUACAUAGGUGGCUACAUGACGGGAAGGAUAACUUACUUAAAACAUCAUCAGAUUUUUCCUUCACAAUAUUUUUUGUAACUUGAUCGCCUUGUUCUUGAAUGUGAACUUUGUAGAUAACAAUACUGUGUCACGAUGUCAAAAGGUUGGACAUGCCUUUUGUCAAUGCAUGCAAUGGGUCCUGUCCAAUAGAAGAACUGGAUGCUGAAAGAUCUGUGGGAAAGUGUCCUUCUAGAAGUGUGGGGCAGUUUACAGGGCUUUUGAACCUCUUCUUCAGCAGCCCCUUGGUAGCCUUUGUAAUUAAAUCCUCAGCCACCCUACAGGCUCUGCUUAAGUGACACUAUUUUAUCAUGGUAAGAUGGGCUGGCAGCUGUCUUCUCAACCAUGGUUCUUACAGCAGCAUCCCUCAGGGGUUAUCCCACCUCUGAGGAUUAUGCUCAACCUCAGCAUCACCCAAUGGGAGUGGUCUGAGGCAGAGCAAGAACACACAUGGGUUGACUCUGCUUCCAGAGUUUUUAGUGCCUAUCAUGAUGUUACUUCUUUGGCAUGGUGGCACUGAGGUUGGGGUUACCCCACUAGUGAAACCUCAGAUUUCCCCAUCUAGAUACCCCACUGCUUCCUUUCAUCAACAAAGACAAUACUUUCAUCUCUUACAUGUAGCAGAGCAUGAGGGGCAUCCUUGCUGCCUUUGCUUCAAACCACUUAGUUUUUUGGAUAAUGGAAGACCAUAGGAGAAUUAAGGAUCUCUUACAUAUUUCUUCUCACCAGCAGGAAAUCUGGUAGACCAGUAUGGAUAACUCAGCUGGGUGUCUGUUUCUGGGGGAUCACCCUUCUUCGAAUCCAGAAUCUAUCUGUCUGUCUGUCUAUCUGCUUAUAUUACAAAUGCUAAUUAUGUUCCCCCCAAAACUGCUUGCAUGAGUGUCUGCACAUGGCUUUUGGGAACCUGCCUCGUUUGGUUUUGAUUGGUAAAUAAUGAUGACAGCAACCAAUAGCUGGGAGGACAGACAGAGGUGGGAUUUUAGGAUUCCUGGGCUUGGGACCAGGAGGAAGAAGGAAAGAUCUGCCAUGCUGGGAGAAUGUGUAGGAGAGGAGAAUAAUGCAGGGCAGAGAGGCAUGGAGUCUAGAGAAGCCCAGACAGAACAUAGAACUUAGUAAGUAGUAAGUCAGAAUUAUCAGUGGGAGGUAGAUUCUACCAGCAGUAGAGGUUAGGUAGAGGCCCAGCUAUCGUGUUGUUUAAGGCAUAUUAAAAUAUAAAGACUG